rnacentral:rRNA from 1 species
AGGGUUCGGCCCUCGGCUGACGGCUCAGUAACACGCGGAUAAUCUGCCCUUAGGUGGAGGAUAAUCUCGGGAAACUGAGAAUAAUAUUCCAUAGAUUUAGGAUGCUGGAAUGCACUUAAAUUGAAAGCUUCGGCGCCUAAGGAUGAGUCUGCGGACUAUCAGGUUGUAGUCAGGGUAACGACCUGACUAGCCUACGACGGAUACGGGUUGUGAGAGCAAUAACCCGGAGAUGAUAUCUGAGACACGAUAUCAGGCCCUACGGGGCGCAGCAGGCGCGAAAACUUCGCAAUGUGCGAAAGCACGACGAGGGAAUCCCAAGUGCUGGCUCGUUAGAGUCAGCUGUUUUUAUGUCUAAAAAGCAUAGAGAGUAAGGGCUGGGUAAGACGGGUGCCAGCCGCCGCGGUAAUACCUGCAGCUCUAGUGGUGGCCGCUAUUAUUGGGCCUAAAACGUCCGUAGCCUGUUUAUUAAAUGCCUAGGUAAAUUGUGUGGCUUAACCAUGCGAAUUCUGGGUAGACUGGUAAACUUGAGACCGGGAGAAGCUAGAGGUACUUCUGGGGUAGAGGUGAAAUUCUGUAAUCCUAGGGGGACCACCAGUGGCGAAAGCGUCUAGCUAGAACGGGUUUGACGGUGAGGGACGAAGCCCUGGGGCGCAAACGGGAUUAGAUACCCCGGUAGUCCAGGGUGUAAACGCUGCUUGCUUGAUGUUGGUUGGGCUCCGAGCCCAAUCAGUGUCGGAGAGAAGUUGUUAAGCAAGCUGCCUGGGAAUUACGGUCGCAAGAC